UGGCGUCUUUAUAGUAUAUUAGAGGGCUAAGCCUUGUUUAAAAUGGUUGUUAAAAUGUGCGUUAUAAAGAUUACUGAAUGUUUGUUAUAAUUGAGAAAUUACCAAAGAUGAUAAUUUUUAAAAUUCUGGGCGUUUUGAUCAAUGAUAUAUUUGUCGAUUUUGAUAUGUCAACAGUCGGUUAUACAGUGGGUACCAAUUGUGCACCUCUA
rnacentral:lncRNA from 1 species